rnacentral:lncRNA from 1 species
GUGAAUAUAAAGCCAUGGGAGGAGACGUUGAGAGCAAUAAAGAAAGGGAGGGAGAGGAUAAAGUGGGAAAAGAGGGAACCUUAUGCCUACUGGAAGGGUAACCCAUACGUUGCUAAAGAUCGGGUAGAUCUUUUGAAAUGCAACCUUUCAGAUAAAAACGACUGGAAUGUUCGGAUUUAUAAGCAGGUGCUUCCUGAAUUAUUAUGUUUCUUCUUUGUGUCAUUGAUGGGCAGGGCUUUUAUAAAUGGAUUGAAAUCAUAAGAAACUUAGGCAACGCCAAGCCAAAUGGGUAACUCUGUGUUUGUAACUCUAAUUGGUUAUUAAUUCAGGAUUGGGGCAAAGAAAGUCAACAAGGGUUCAAGCAUUCGAAAUUGGAAGAUCAAUGUACCCAUAGGUAUACAUAUGCAAAACCCUUUUUUUCUCCUCCUUAUGGAAGGUUUUUAAAUUUUCAAUUUUAAGCAACUUUCAGUCUAAUGAGAUUUUUCAACUUUGCUGCGGUACAAUCUAUAUAAAGAUAUAAAAUCUAUAUAGAAGGAGCAACUUGGUCUGUAAGUGAGAAAUACAUACUGGCAUGUGAUAGCAUGACGUUGUUGAUAAAGCCUAAAUACUAUGAUUUCUUCUCGAGAAGUAUGGUGUCGAUGCAGCAUUACUGGCCUAUCCGUCGCAAAAACAAAUGCAGGGAUCUUAAGUUUGCAGUUGAAUGGGGCAAUAAUCACCCUCACGAGGUACAUAUCCUCAACAAAUGAAAACAUGGAUUGCAAUGAAUUCAAUCAUGUAUAUCUAUCUCUUAAGAAAAUAUAUAAUGUACCUUCAAUUUCGCUUUAUAAACUUGCAGGCACAGGCCAUAGGGAAAGCAGGAAGCAAAUUUAUCGAAGAGACUCUGACAAUGCGAAAUGUGUAUGACUACAUGUUUCAUUUGUUGAACGAAUACUCCAAACUCUUGAAGUUUAAACCAACAGUCCCUUCAAAAGCCCACAGGGUCUGUGCCGAAUCCGUAGCAUGCUUGCAGAAAGGUUUAUGGAAGGAUUUCAUGGUGCAGUCAAUGGUGAAGUCUCCUAGUCAUGAACUUCCAUGUGCAUUGCCUCCCCCAUAUGAACCUCAAGCCAUUCAAGCUUCUCUCGACAGAGAAGACAAAAUAACAAGGCAAGUGGAGACGUGGGAGACAGAAUAUUGGAAAAAAACUAAACCAUAAGAAUCAAUAGAAAGCUAGAAACCUCUCUUUCUCGUUUUUUUCUUUCAUCAACAUCUGUAAUUAGUGUAGCCAAAUUAAGAAAAGCUUAGUCUAUUUCAGAUCAUUCUUGCACUGAUCAUAUGGAAGAAUUUGUAAUUGUAAUCAAAUACAGGACUGAUUUGUAAAUAGCAUUAAGAAACAGAGGAAUUCCUAACUUUAUAUCACCAUUUAGACUACAAGGGUUUACUUGGGAUAUUAGAGGUUAUGAUGUUAAGUUUUCAGAGGAAAUACCCCAUUUAUGUAAAGUUCCUUCUUUAUGUUAAAAUUUAGCUCUAGAAUAUAUAUUAUAUGAUUUAGUAUAAUUACCAAAAGUUAUGUGAAAACUUUGCUAUAGAAUAUAUAUUAUAUUAUAUGAUUUUACAUCAAUAAAUAUUAUUAGGGAACAUAUCAGUCCACUGAAAGAGUGGUAAUAAUACAAAAGACCUUAAGACCGUUUCAAAACAGCAACACAGAGAAAUAGAACAUCUAAAACUUCUUCAAAAUAAGCUCCAGAAAACAGAAGCAGCAGCAACAUAAUUCCAAAGUCAGUGCAGAAAAGGCCAAAGGCAAUGAGCUAAACUCCCUUGAUACAUGUCACCGCAGCUCUUAAAUGGAGAAACAAGGUGUUGAAAAAUAUUGUACGAUUUAGUAGGUAAAAAAAACACUCUAUUCCCUGAGCAAAUUAAUCUCUCUAAAAAAAUUCAAAAAAAUUUAUUUCUUAUUAAUUUUAAAGUUGGGCAAGCGAGAACAAUAGAUAACAACAAUGGCAUUUUCCGUCCAAAAAUCCUACGCGACAAAAAGAAAAGAUAAAGUUUUAUUUCCAGGUGUUGAGUUCUUAUUGGACCAUGUAAUUUAAAUCGAAAACUUCAUUUCCAAUGUAACAACAAAAAAUUAAAUUUCUAACCCAGUAGCCCACUUACCCACCACCCAAACUCGAUCUUAGCCGAUUGCCUAACAUUUUCGAAAUAUUUUUUUUGGAUUGCAUUAUUUGUUAUUGUUAUUUGUUGAUUUUCGAAAUUAACAAAAAUGAAUUUAUCCUUAAUUUUAUGAGAGGAAUUACUUUCUUCAAUUUCGAAUUUGUACUAAUUUAGCAUAAAAAAUUAUUAAAUAGUGUAGUUAAUAUUAAUAUCGUAAAAUAAGUCAAAAUUUGAUUUACUCACAGUAAAAGUUAAAGUAAAGAUAUUAGGUAAUUAACAUUGAAAUAAAUAAUUAUAAUUAUAUUCAAUGUUUCCGUAAAUUAUAUUAUAUUAUAUUACAUUUGCAAUAACAAUAUUUUAAGUAUUAAAAUUAGAUUUACUUGACAAUAAUAUAAACGUAGAAGUAUACAAUAUAAUAAAAUGUUUAAGUAAUACUAUAUUAUAUUUAAAAUAAUAUUUAAAAAUUACUUAGUUAAAUAUAACUUUUUAUAAAUGAAGAUUGUUUUAAUUAACGUUAAAAAAAUUCCAUGUUAAAGUAUGUAUAUUAAAAAAUGUACACUUGGCACAAGAAAAAACUAUGCAAAUGAAGUCAACUUUCCCUACUUGCGAGAAUUCCUUGCCAUAUAAAUGUAUGGCAGGUUUGGUUUUAAAUCAGGAAUAGAGUUGUGGGAAAUACGGUUUCCAUGGUGGAGCAUGUUAAAGUACUUCAAGAGGAUAGGGCUUUUCAAAGGUUGGUGUUGGUCUCAACAACUACUACCUUCAUCUUCUUCUUCCUCUUUCUUAUUCCAGCUCUGCUUAAUUGGAUGGAUAUUGUAAGUCUCCCUCAUAUCAAAACUUGUUGCUUUCCUUCAUCUUUAUACUUUUUUUAAUCAUUUUUAAUAAAUAAAUUUUGAGAAAUUUUGUUUUUACUACCAUCGACUUAUGUUAUGAUAAUAAUAAUUGAGAAUAAGUUAUAUUAAUAUCAUCCUAAAAAGUAUCGUUUUUAAGCACAAAUAAAAUAAUAUCACGUCAUUAAAUUUUAAACAUGACAAAAUAUUAUUAUACACUCAUUUAUAUCUAAUAUAUUCUCCAACUUAAUUUAAAUAUAAUAAAUUAAUUUUUAAAUUAUAAACAAAUAAUUUUAUUCUUUUACAAUUUUAAUAAUUUUUUCCAUAAUUAUGAUGGGAUUUUAUCAAUAUUUUAUUUUUGUCAUUUCAACCAAUACUUUAUUUAUUUUUAUUUAAAUUUUUAAUAAAUAUAUUUGUUAGAUAAAAGUUUUCAACCAUUUUGUGUCAUAAUAUACUAUAUAUUAUAAUUAGUUUGUAAAUUAACGGUGAAAUUUUUUAACUCUAGGGUUAAAUUUGUCCAAUGCAUUCUUAAAUUAUAUUUUAAAAUUUUAAAAUAAAUAAAUUAACUGUAUAGAUAGAAUUCUAUCUACCAAAUAAUUACUCUUUUAUAUAUUUCCAAUCAUGUAUAAUAUAUUUCCAUAUUUCGAAUUUUGUUAAUAAAAGAUUAAUGCAGAUUUUUUGAUCUACUUGUUUCUCAGCUUGUUAUACGGGGCACUCCAAAUGGGCAGUCGAUUUUUACAUCAUGAGAGGAUUGAAUUUCCUCUAAACUGCUCUAAUUCAGUUAAUUUACCCCAAACAUGCCCGGAAAAUUACCCGUCGGUGUUCCAGCCCCAAGAAUCAUCGGCUAGAACUUGCCCAGAUUACUUCUGGUGGAUCCACCAAGAUUUAAAGCAAUGGAAGAGUUCGUGGAUUACAGAAGACAUGAUCGAAAGGGGAAAACCCUGUGCGGAUUUCAGGCUCGUCAUUGUCAACGGAAAGGCCUAUGUGGAGAAGUACAACAGGCCAUAUCAAACCAGGGAUGUAUUUACAAUAUGGGGCAUUUUGCAGCUUCUAAGGUUGUACCCUGGAAAAGUACCAGACUUGGACCUUUUGUUCUUUUGUGGAGACGAUACCGUGAUCAAGAGAAGAAACUACAAAGGACGCUAUGCUGCAUUAGCACCGCCGGUGUUUCAUUAUUGUGGAGAAAAAGCAGCACUGGACAUUGUGUUCCCUGACUGGACCUUCCGGGGAUGGUAAAUUCUGCUACAUAUUGCCAAAAGUCACACGUUCUUAAUGAUAUAUCAAUUUUUUAAUUCUGAUUACCGCAACAAAUUGCUAAUGGAGAAAAAAUGUCAAGUGUUAAUAACUUUUUAUUGCAAUUAGCAAGCUAAUCAUAUUUAGUUUACUUUGUCCUGGCAGGGCAGAGGUGAAUAUAAAGCCAUGGGAGGAGACGUUGAAGGCAAUAAAGAAAGGGAGGGAGAGGAUCAAGUGGACAAAGAGGAAGCCUUAUGCCUACUGGAAGGGUAACCCAUACGUUGCUAAAGAUCGGGUAGAUCUUUUGAAAUGCAACCUUUCAGAUAAAAACGACUGCAAUGUUCGGAUUUAUAAGCAGGUACUUCCUGAAUUAUUAUGUUUCUUCUUUGUGUCAUUGAUGGGCAGGGCUUUUAUAAAUGGAUUGAAAUCAUAAGAAACUUAGGCAACGCCAAGCCAAAUGGAUU